rnacentral:lncRNA from 1 species
GGGAAGGUGGAGCUGAGAGUUGGGAGAGAGAGAGGACGGAGAAGGAGAUGGAAGAAAAGUGGAGCAGAAGCACGUGGCCUGGAGAAACUGCAAGCCGGCCUGUUUGGUUGGAGAUUUACCGCAACAGGGAGGAGGUUUAUUUUACCUCAUGGUUCCAGCUCAUCAUGGUGGUAAAGACAAGACAGAGUUCCUGGCAGUGCCCGAGGCUCCCCACAUCACAGGGGACCAAGAUGGAACGUGACCCCUGGAGUGUGGACUUAUGCACCAGCAAGGUUUAUGAAUCAGCAAGAGAUGCAAACAGUCAUACCUCCCAAGGUUGUAUGCCUACCUCUGAUGAGGCAGGGUAGACCUUCCCAGGCAUUCCUAAGAGAUCUGGCCUAUAUUGAUGGAAUUCUAGAAUCCUACCCCCAGAUGCCUCUUGGGUCUCUAAGCAAAUGGAAAGAAUCAUAUUCUGUGCCUGAAUUGUUUUUGUUGCAUACCUAGCCCUAAGAAAAGCAUUUUAGUAGAAAUGGUCAUAACUAUGUUUCCCACUGCAAAGGAGCCAGCCGCCAAACUCUACGUGUAGCACAAGAAAAAGAAGGAAAUAAAUUAUGGACAGCUUUGACUUGGUAAGCCUAA